GUGGAUGAGGCAUGCAAGUCGAACGAAUAAGGGGCAACUCUUAUUAGUGGCGGAAGGGUUAGUAAUACAUGGGUAAUCUGCCUUUAACUUUGGAAUAACGGUUGGAAACGAUCGCUAAUACCAAAUGUGGUGAGGAGAGGCAACUCUCUUUCAUUAAAGUGGGGGAUCGCAAGACCUCGCGGUUAAAGAAGAGCCCAUGCGAUAUCAGCUAGUUGGUGAGGUAAUGGCUCACCAAGGCUAAGACGUCUAGGCGGAUUGAGAGAUUG
rnacentral:rRNA from 1 species